UACAGAGACUGCAAGCGUUAUUCGGAUUCACUGGGCGUAAAGGGUGCGCAGGCGGCCGUGUGUGUGAGGCGUGAAAGCCCGGGGCUUAACCCCGGAAUUGCACCUCAAACUACACGGCUAGAGCAUUGGAGAGGGUAGCAGAAUUCACGGUGUAGCAGUGAAAUGCGUAGAUAUCGUGAGGAAUACCAGAGGCGAAGGCGGCUACCUGGACAAUUGCUGACGCUCGGGCACGAAAGCGUGGGGAGCAAAAGGG
rnacentral:rRNA from 1 species